rnacentral:rRNA from 1 species
GAUGAACGCUGGCGGCGUGCCUAAUACAUGCAAGUCGAGCGAACGGACGAGAAGCUUGCUUCUCUGAUGUUAGCGGCGGACGGGUGAGUAACACGUGGAUAACCUACCUAUAAGACUGGGAUAACUUCGGGAAACCGGAGCUAAUACCGGAUAAUAUUUUGAACCGCAUGGUUCAAAAGUGAAAGACGGUCUUGCUGUCACUUAUAGAUGGAUCCGCGCUGCAUUAGCUAGUUGGUAAGGUAACGGCUUACCAAGGCAACGAUGCAUAGCCGACCUGAGAGGGGGAUGCGCCAACAGGGAACGGGGACCCGGUCCAAGCCCCACAGGGGGGCAGGGGUAGGAAAUUUCCCGGAAGGGGGGAAAGCCUGACGGGGAAACCCCGGGUGGGGGAUGAAGGUCUUCGGAUCGUAAAACUUUUUUUUUGGGGAAAAACAAAUGUUGAAGUAACUGGGCCCCUUUUGACGGUACCUAAUCAGAAAGCCACGGCUAACUACGG